GUGCGUGUGACAGCGGCUA
rnacentral:miRNA from 8 species